rnacentral:rRNA from 1 species
CAGUCGACGAUGAUGGGAGCUUGCUCCUGGAUUAGUGGCGAACGGGUGAGUAACACGUGAGUAACCUGCCCUUAACUCUGGGAUAAGCCUGGGAAACUGGGUCUAAUACCGGAUAUGACUCCUCAUCGCAUGGUGGGGGGUGGAAAGCUUUAUUGUGGUUUUGGAUGGACUCGCGGCCUAUCAGCUUGUUGGUGAGGUAAUGGCUUACCAAGGCGACGACGGGUAGCCGGCCUGAGAGGGUGACCGGCCACACUGGGACUGAGACACGGCCCAGACUCCUACGGGAGGCAGCAGUGGGGAAUAUUGCACAAUGGGCGCAAGCCUGAUGCAGCGACGCCGCGUGAGGGAUGACGGCCUUCGGGUUGUAAACCUCUUUCAGUAGGGAAGAAGCGAAAGUGACGGUACCUGCAGAAGAAGCGCCGGCUAACUACGUGCCAGCAGCCGCGGUAAUACGUAGGGCGCAAGCGUUAUCCGGAAUUAUUGGGCGUAAAGAGCUCGUAGGCGGUUUGUCGCGUCUGCCGUGAAAGUCCGGGGCUCAACUCCGGAUCUGCGGUGGGUACGGGCAGACUAGAGUGAUGUAGGGGAGACUGGAAUUCCUGGUGUAGCGGUGAAAUGCGCAGAUAUCAGGAGGAACACCGAUGGCGAAGGCAGGUCUCUGGGCAUUAACUGACGCUGAGGAGCGAAAGCAUGGGGAGCGAACAGGAUUAGAUACCCUGGUAGUCCAUGCCGUAAACGUUGGGCACUAGGUGUGGGGGACAUUCCACGUUUUCCGCGCCGUAGCUAACGCAUUAAGUGCCCCGCCUGGGGAGUACGGCCGCAAGGCUAAAACUCAAAGGAAUUGACGGGGGCCCGCACAAGCGGCGGAGCAUGCGGAUUAAUUCGAUGCAACGCGAAGAACCUUACCAAGGCUUGACAUGAACCGGUAAUACCUGGAGACAGGUGCCCCGCUUGCGGUCGGUUUACAGGUGGUGCAUGGUUGUCGUCAGCUCGUGUCGUGAGAUGUUGGGUUAAGUCCCGCAACGAGCGCAACCCUCGUUCUAUGUUGCCAGCACGUGAUGGUGGGGACUCAUAGGAGACUGCCGGGGUCAACUCGGAGAAGGUGGGGACGACGUCAAAUCAUCAUGCCCCUUAUGUCUUGGGCUUCACGCAUGCUACAAUGGCCGGUACAAAGGGUUGCGAUACUGUGAGGUGGAGCUAAUCCCAAAAAGCCGGUCUCAGUUCGGAUUGGGGUCUGCAACUCGACCCCAUGAAGUCGGAGUCGCUAGUAAUCGCAGAUCAGCAACGCUGCGGUGAAUACGUUCCCGGGCCUUGUACACACCGCCCGUCAAGUCACGAAAGUUGGUAACACCCGAAGCCGGUGGUUCUAAC